rnacentral:lncRNA from 1 species
AUGGGCAGGCCGGCGGGGCCCGGGCCCACUGAUGUCGAAGCGCGCACGGCGGUUCGGGCUCCGCGCAAAACCUACGUGCACUGGGGGGUGGAAAAGUGCGCGCCGGGGCCCCGCGCUCACUUGCGGCCCUUGGGCACUUUGGGGACGCUGGGUUUGGCCGCCUUCUUCACCUUCUUGCCCCCCGCGACCGCCGCCUUCUUGGCUUUGCUGCCUUUGUCCUUCUUGGAAGCGGCGCCCUUCUUGUGCGAGCGCUUCUCGGGCUGUGGGCCCUUAGCCGGCUUCUUGUCCGCGCGUCGCGGGGCGGCCGCGGCCGGGGCCGCCUUCUUGGCCUUGUGCGCAGCGGGCGCCGGGGCCGAGGCGGGCGCCGGGGCACCGCGCCGCUCGCCGCCGCCACCCUCCAGCUUCUUGCGGUUGAGCUUGAACGAGCCGUUGGCGCCGGUGCCCUUCACCUGCAGCAGGGUGUCGUUCUGCACCAGCGCCUUGAUGGAGUACUUGAGAAGAUGCUUUUGGAGCCACGUUUAAGAGUUCUUCACCAAGCCUUAGCUCUUGAGUACUUUUCCUGUGUUUUUCCCAAGUGUCCAGUCCUACAGUCUCAGAGCUUUACAGGCUGUGAUCCAUCUGGAGCUGUUUUGCAUCCCGUGCAAGGUUUAGCUGGUUUUCCCCCCGGGUGACGUGCGGUGAGCUUCGGGCCGUCGUGACUCGGCGUUGUCCACGCUGUGAAACGACCACCACCCUUCGUCACGCGCGCUGGCGUUUUUGUGACGAGGAUGUUAAGGUCUGCUCUCCCGGUGGCUCCACACAUGCAGGUUUCCGAACCAGGCACCGGGCCGUGCGUGACCUCCCCAGGACUGACUUCGUAAAGGCCUUCCUGGCCUCCCGGCCCUCCACCCACGCUGCUCGCCACACGCGCUGGCCCUGGUUCCGUGUGCUCUCCGCAUCU